rnacentral:tRNA from 2 species
GCCCCAAUAGCUCAGUCGGUAGAGCAUCUCCAUGGUAAGGAGAAGGUCUGCGGUUCAAUUCCGCAUUGGGGCU